rnacentral:lncRNA from 10 species
UGGAGCCUGCAGUACACUGUUGAAUAGAAGUGGUAGGAGCAGACAUCCUUGUCUUGUUCCUGACUUUGGAGAGAAAGUGUUCAGUCUUUCAUCAUUAAGUAUGAUGCUAGCUGUGGGUUUUUUAUAGGUGCCCUGUAUCAGGUGGAGGAUGUUCCUUUCUAUUCCAAUUUGAAAGUUUUAUCAUGAAAGGGUGUUGGAUUUUGUCAAAUGCUUUUUCUCCAUCUAUUAAAUGAUAAUGAGAUUUUUUUUUUCUUUCUUUUUUCUUUUUAAUACAGUCUCGUUCUGUCACGCAGGCUGGAGUGCAUUGGUACAAUCAUGGCUCACUGCAACCUCCGCCUCCUGGGCACAAGCGAUUCUCCUGUCUCAGCCUCCUGAGAAGCUGGAAUCACAGGUGUGCCACCAUGCCUGGCUUGUUUGUUAUUUUAUUGAUGUGAUAUACUGCAUUUAUUGACUUUCAGAUAUUAAACCAACCUGGCAUCCCAUCCCAGGGAUAAAUCCUACGUGAUCAUGGUGUAUCAUUCUUUUUUGUUUGUUUUUGUUUUUUGAGACGGAGUCUCACUCUGUUGCCCAGGCUGGAGUGCAAUGGCACGAACUCAGCUCACUGCAAGCUCCACCUCCUGGGUUCCAGCGAUUCUCCUGCCUCAGCCUCCCGGGUAGCUGGGAUUAUAGGUGUGCACCACCAUGCCUGGCUAAUUUUUUGUAUUUUUAGUAGAGACAGAGUUUCUCCAUGUUGGCCAGGCUGAUCUCAAACUCCUGAUCUCAGGUGAUCCACUCGCCUCAGCCUCCCAAAGUGCUAGGAUUAUAGGCGUGAGCCACCAUGCCCGGCCUGUGGUGUAUCUUUUUAUUAUUAUUAUUUUUUGAGACAGAGCUUCACUCUUGUUGCCCAGGCUGGAGUACAAUGGGGUGAUCUCAGCUCACUGCAACCUCCACCUCCUGGGUUCAAGUGAUUCUCCUGCCACAGCUUCCUGAGUAGCUGGGAUUACAGGCAUGUACCACCAUGCCCAGCUAAUUUUGUAUUUUUAGUAGAGAUGGGGUUUCUCCAUGUUGGUCAGGCUGGUCUCGAACUCAGGACCUCAGGUGAUCUGCCCUCCUCGACCUCCCAAAGUGCUGGGAUUACAGGUGUGAGCUACUGCGUCUGGCCAGGUGUAUCAUUUUUAUAAUAAUAGAAUUCUUAUUAUUGUUUUAAGCCCCUAAAUUUUGGGGUAAUUUACUAAGCAGCAACAGACAACUAGCUCAAGCUGCCUGUUAUGGGACCACAGCCGUCGCCUUGCUUCCUUAGCUCCCAGGUGAGUGUAGUCAAGAUGGAGGCAGAUGCCUUCUUGGGGGCCUGCUCUCUUGGCUGUAAGGGCCUUUUCUUUCCAGUGGCUUGUGGUGAGAUGGUCUAACCUGGAGCUGGGGCCAGGGACUCCCUCUUCUGUCUGGUGAAAUGGGUGUUGCAGCUGCAGCCAGGAGCAUAGGGAGGCAGAGCUGGGACAGAGCCUGAGCUUGUCCCCUGGGUCUUCAGGUUCUUUCUUUGGUAGUGAGAGUUGAGGCUGGAGUCUCAGCUGUGCCCUCCCGUGGCCUUCACUUAUGGUUAGCUACAUGUGGGAAACAGAUGUUGCCUAUUCACAUGAGGGGUCUAGGUUGCCUCCUGGAAAAAAGAAUUCACCCCAAAUAAGGAGAGAAAGAGGUCCUCAGCCUUGGUUGGUGCAAACCUCUGGUGCUGGAGAGCAGAGUGAUGCGGUUUGUAGCACUGGCCCACCGUGCGGGUUGUCCUCUGCUCCUUGGUCCUUAGUCUAAGGAAAGGGAGAGGGGGUGUCAACACUACAACCCUGGAUCCCUGCAAGACACUGGCUGCCCCACAGAGAUGCCCCUGUGUACAGAGAGCAUCCAGGGGCCAUGCGUUUGAAAGACUGUUCCAAGUGAAUGCAAGAUUUUCUUUUUCUUUUUUUUUUCUGAGACACAGUCUCGCUCUGCCACCCAGGCUGGAAUGCAGUGGUGCACGAUCUCAGCUCACUGCAACCUCCGCCUCCCAGGUUCAAGCAAUUCUCCCACCUUAGCCUCUUAAGUAGCUGGGAUUACAGGCACAUGCCACCACACCUGGCUAGUUUUUGUAUUUUUUAGUAGAGAUGGGGUUUCACCAUGUUGGUCUGGCUGGUCUCAAACUUCUGACCUCAGGUGACCCGCCUGCCUUGGCCUUCCAAAGUGCUGGGAUUACAAGCGUGAGCCACCGCACCCAGCCCAUAUUUUCGACUGGGGAUACAGUUCUAGCUAUUUUACUGAUGUAGGCCAGAGCAUCCUUUGCCGAAAUUCAGAGCCUAUUACUCCCAGGCUGGUGAGGCUGAUGGCCUGAGAAGCUAGAUUUAUUCACUCAUUCAGAGCACCUGUUUUGUCUUCCUGCUCUCUACAAGGCCUGGGUCAGCGGGAGGCAGAAAGGCCUCCUUUCCCUCGAGAGCCUCACUGACCAGUGAAGGAGACAGAAAAUCCUAAUGAUGAGCAGUAAGUGUCAUAAUAAAGAUAAGCCAAGCCAAAAGGCUUAGCCAAGCCUGGCAGCUUCCUGGAGGAGGUGAUGUGUGAAGUUUGCACUAGUAGGAGGUGGCAUCAACAGGCCCAUGGGGAAACUAGCCACCAUACCGUGAGGAUGCUCAAGCAGUCCUGUGGAGGGACCCAUCUAGACAGGAGCCAACAGGCAGCACCAACUUGCCUGCCAGUGCAAGAGAACGAAUGAAUGUCCUGGUUUGGCUGCUGUUACUUCUGCUGUUACUUGCGGACAAAAGCAUCCUUAUUGAUUCAUCACAUAAAAGAUGACUCCCUGGGGAUUUCUGAAGAGUGAUUCCUGGCCGGGCUCGGUGGCUCAUGCCUAUAAUCCCAGCACUUUGGGAGGCCGAGGUGGGUGGAUUACAAGGUCAGGAGAUCUAGA